rnacentral:rRNA from 1 species
UACGUAGGGGGCAAGCGUUAUCCGGAUUUACUGGGUGUAAAGGGAGCGUAGACGGCGGUGCAAGCCAGAUGUGAAAGGCCAGGGCUCAACCCUGGGACUGCAUUGGAAACUGUUUAACUGGAGUGUCGGAGAGGCAAGUGGAAUUCCUAGUGUAGCGGUGAAAUGCGUAGAUAUUAGGAGGAACACCAGUGGCGAAGGCGGCUUGCUGGACGAUGACUGACGCUGAGGCUCGAAAGCGUGGGGAGCAAAAAGG